rnacentral:rRNA from 1 species
GUGUCAGCAGCCGCGGUAACACGUAGGAGGCGAGCGUUAUCCGGAUUUACUGGGUGUAAAGCGCGUGCAGGCGGAUCGGAAAGUUGGAUGUGAAAGCUCCCGGCUUAACUGGGAGAGGUCGUUCAAAACUACCGGUCUUGAGUACAGUAGAGGGAAGUGGAAUUCCGGGUGUAGUGGUGAAAUGCGUAGAUAUCCGGAGGAACACCAGUGGCGAAAACGGCUUUCUGGACGUUAUCUGACUCUCAGACGCGAAA